rnacentral:sRNA from 1 species
AAAAUUUAACUUGAAUUAAAUAUAAUAUAAUAAUUAUGAUUAAUAAAGAUCAAGAUGGACUGUUAGGUUUUCGUGGCAGAUCAUUUUUUCUCUUGAACUGCUUAUAUUUGCUCUUGCAUGUUUCCAAAAACAGUUCAAAUAUUAUUUUCAUUUUUAUAAAAAUAAUUCACUCUAAUGCCUUUUUCUCAAUGCCCUUUUGCAACUCUACCAUUUUUUUUCCCAUUUUCAUUUCUAUCCUUUCUAAUACUUUUCUCUCCAAAUUACCCUUAAUGAGCUACCCACAGACCUAAUUCAUUUCUUCACUCUCUCUCUUCUUCCUCCAUCGGAAAUUGUGAAUGCCGUUGAAUCCCAUGCCGUCGGAAAUAAUGAGUUUACUCGCCGUGAAAACCCAUCUUCGCCGUCGUAAGUAGAGCUAUGUGUCGCCGUCGAAUCUCUUGCGUUUCCCAGGUUUGAUUUUAUAAUGUUAGCUUAAAUCUUCGUUUUCGAAUUGGUUUAUUCGAUUUUUGUUGUUGAUUCUGUGAACUCGUUAUUUGAAUCCUGAUUCAAUCGACAGUUUGACAUUUGCUUCAGCUUCGAAUUUGAAUUUUGUUUGAGAUUUGAUGAUUGAAUUUGUUUCUAAAAUCCUUGUACAUUCGUUAUAUUGUUCUAAAAUCCUUUUGAAUUCGUUAUACUGUUUCGUGAUAGAUUUGCUUAUGUGAAUUCGUUAUACUAUUUCGUAAUAGAUUUUGGUUCUGAUUUAGUGUUUACCGUCGGAUCUAUCGAUAUCUCUGGGGAUUGUUUGCGUCGUAGAGAAAUGAUCUGAAUCCUUCAGCGAAGAACAGGUUUAUCGGAGAGGAAAUUCGUCGGCGAUUUUGGGGUUUCUCAGAAAGAAAAUUCGUCGGCGAUUUUGAGUAAAAUCGGAGAGGAAAUUCGUUGGCGAUUUUGAGUGAAAUCGGAGAGGGAAUUCGUCGGCGAUUUUGAGUGAAAUCAGAGAGGAAAUUCGCCGGCGAUUUUGAGUGAAAUCGGAGAGGAAAAUCAGAGAGGAAAACGAAGAAGUUUGUGGCAAAACGAAGAAGUUUGUGAAACCAACGUGAAACCUAAUCAUUCAGAGGGUAAGACAGUCAUUUGGCAUAUUAGAAGGGGUAGUUUUAAAAAUGGCCUUUAGGAAAGGGCACUUUUACAAAAGGUUAUUAGAAUAAGGGCAGUUUUGCAAAUCUCCCUUUUUAUAAUCAUGAUACACUUUUACUGUAUCAAAAUUGUUGAAUGGGUAACUAAAAGUGGUACGUCCCACCUUGCAGUUGCUCCGCCAUUAGCCCGCAGUUCCAUUCAAAGCCAAAAAGCAACGACCUCUGAAAGAAUUUAAAAAUAUGGAUUUCAAGAAUACUUAUAGUCAUAAAAUAUAUGAGUUGAGAGACCAUUAUAUUUAAAACAAAUAUCAAAUAUGGGUUUCAAGAAUAGACUUGUAUGUUAAAUAAUUCGAAAACCUAUUUUCAAAAGUAUCUUUAAUAAGUAUUUCUUUACUGAAAACAAAAUAUAACUGCUAAAAAAAUACGUUAAAAAA